rnacentral:tRNA from 1 species
UCUUCUAUAGUACAGCGGUUAGUAUAUCCGCCUUUCAUUGCCUGCCACGGUGUGCUAUGUAGCGCGGGAGAUCGGGGUUCGAUUCCCCGUGGGAGAA